CAAAAACAUCUCCCCCAGGCUUAAAUGUUGGAUUGGGGGUAGGCCCUGCCCGGUGAUUUAUUUUUUAACGGCGGUGUUAAGCCUUAAAGUAGCGUAGUAAUUCGUCCUUUAAUUGAGGUCUAGUAUGAAUGGGUUGACGUGGAUAGGCUGUCUCGAAGGGAGUGUCGUAAAUUUUCUUCUUAGUGAAAAGUCUGAGAUUUAUUUAAAAGACGAGAAGACCCCGUCGAGCUUGAUUAAUGUGAUAAGGGUUUGUUAUAUGAAGGUUUGUUGGGGCAAUAAGGGAGAAAGUGAACCUCCUUUUCUUUCUAUGUGGAUCCCCUUUUUGGGAAAGAAGAAAAAGCUACCGCGGGGAUAACAGCGCAAGACUGCCUGAUAGGUCAUAUUGAAGGCUGUAUUUGCGACCUCGAUGUUGGAUUAGGGUAUACAACUGGGCGUAGAAGCUUAGUGAGGUGGGACUGUUCGUCCUUUAAACCCCUACAUGAUCUGAG
rnacentral:rRNA from 1 species